rnacentral:rRNA from 1 species
GUGUCAGCAGCCGCGGUAAUACAGGGGGCGCGAGCGUUGCUCGGAAUCACUGGGCGUAAAGCGAACGCAGGCGGACUGUUAAGUCGAAUGUGAAAGCCCGGGGCUCAACCCCGGAAGUGCAUUCGAAACUGGCAGUCUUGAGUACGGGAGAGGUGAGUGGAAUUCCUGGUGUAGAGGUGAAAUUCGUAGAUAUCAGGAGGAACACCGGUGGCGAAAGCGGCUCACUGGCCCGAUACUGACGCUCAUGUUCGAAAGCGUGGGGAGCAAACAGGAUUAGAUACCCGCGUAGUCC